UCGGGUAUGGUGUAGCGGUAACAUCGCUGACUCUCACACGAGAUUCUCAGCAGCCCGGGGUUCGACUCCCCGUAUCCGAG